GACGCCGAGGUCCUUGCAGAGCCACACCUGGGUUGCCUCCCCGACCCGCAUCUGCAUCUUUUCCUUGAAAGUGAAGUCGACUGCUGGCUGGGGAAGGGGCACAGCCAAUGAUGCUCAGGACUUACUCCUGGUGACCUUGGGGGGGACGAUAUCAGGAAUUAGAGAUCAAACUCAGUUCUGACUUUUGUCACAGGACAUGCCACCUGGAAUACAGAGCACCAACACUCAGAGGACCCUGGGAAACCCACAUUAGGGGGAAGCCGGGCAAGCUAAGCAGAGAAAUCAGUUGUGAAGCUUACCCCUUAAGCAUGUUAGUCCGUAUCUUCUAAAUAAAUCGAGACCUUCUUUUCUUGGUUGAGCUUCUCUUCUUCUUUUCUGUAACAGAGACACAGAAACUGAAGUCAGGUAAAUAAAACCAGAAGACUGGGGUGCAGCGAGGGGUAACGCCUGCAAAGCUUCAGGAGGUUUUCCUCCUUCACUUGGGAAGAAUUCAGUGCAGCUGGGAGCAGAUCCAAACUCACUGGGAGCUGAACCACGGGUCCGCUUUAUGUCUCCAGAAACACUCAUGUCUCCACGUGAGCCUGUGCCUUCUGAACCUCAUUUGAGAACCCCCGUGAUUUAAGGCAGCAUCUCUCUCUUACCACGAACAGCCUCCCUCUAGUCCUAUGCCUUAUUCAAAAGUUCUGUGUUGACCUAGAAGUCAUCUUUAUUGCUUAGAUGCUAUCUGAAGCAGAAUCACAGAGUUGCGUUCAUUAGGCUCUAAAAUCAUCGGGGUUGGAGCCAGAGUGAUAACUUCAGUGGGUAGGAUGUUUACCUGGCUCGCAGCCAAGCUCAGCACCCCAUAUGGUCCCCGGAGCCUGCCAGGAGUGAUACCAAAACCAAAAAAUAAAUAAAAUCAGCGGGGUUCUUCAGCAAACGUUUCUUGAGGAUAAGAAGGCUCUGGCACAGGCACACACUGUCAUGAUGUAGGACUUCGACUGGGGGUCUCAGAUAGGGCUCAGAGCUCAAGCAAUAGAAUUAGGAAUCAAUGUGACUCAUUAAAAUAAAAAAUGUGGAGGUUGGAGAUAUCAUUCAACAGGUAAGAUGCUUGCCUUGCAUGCAGUCGAUCCAAGUUCGAUCCCUGGCACCCCAUCUAUUAUGGUCCCCCAACCCCUGCCAGAAAUGAUCUCUGAGCACCACUGGGUAUGGCCCAAAACACAAAUAAAUAAUACAAAAUAAAUAUAAAGCGGUGCAGUUAUUAUUUUUUUUUAAAU